UACGGAGGGGGCUAGCGUUGUUCGGAAUUACUGGGCGUAAAGCGCACGUAGGCGGACUGUUAAGUCGGGGGUGAAAUCCUGGGGCUCAACCUCAGAAUUGCCUCCGAUACUGGCAGUCUCGAGUGCGGGAGAGGUGAGUGGAAUUCCCAGUGUAGAGGUGAAAUUCGUAGAUAUUGGGAAGAACACCAGUGGCGAAGGCGGCUCACUGGGCCCGUAACUGACGCUGAGGUGCGAAAGCGUGGGGAG
rnacentral:rRNA from 1 species